CCUACGGGUGGCUGCAGUGGGGAAUUUUGGACAAUGGGCGAAAGCCUGAUCCAGCAAUGCCGCGUGAGUGAAGAAGGCCUUCGGGUUGUAAAGCUCUUUCAGUUGAGAAGAAAAGAUCGUGAUUAAUAAUUGCGAUUUAUGACGGUAUCAACAGAAGAAGCACCGGCUAACUACGUGCCAGCAGCCGCGGUAAUACGUAGGGUGCAAGCGUUAAUCGGAAUUACUGGGCGUAAAGGGUGCGCAGGCGGUUUUGUAAGUCAGAUGUGAAAUCCCCGGGCUUAACCUGGGAAUUGCGUUUGAAACUGCAAGGCUAGAGUGUGGCAGAGGGGGGUGGAAUUCCAUGUGUAGCAGUGAAAUGCGUAGAGAUAUGGAAGAACAUCGAUGGCGAAGGCAACCCCCUGGGUUAACACUGACGCUCAUGCACGAAAGCGUGGGGAGCAAACAGGAUUAGAUACCCGGGUAGUC
rnacentral:rRNA from 1 species